UGCAGGACAGUGGAUCCCCAGGAGCAGGGUUGAAGACCUAUGAUAUAGACACUAAAGAAUCCUAUACAGCCAUAUAUCUUUUUUGCUUAGAAAACUGAACUUAAAGCACUGAAAAGAACAACUGAAUACAUGUAAUCCUGACCUGUGUUGCUUUGGAAUUCCAGACGAGCAGGAGUUGGAAGAGGGGCUGCAGUCAGUAGAAGGACGGAGUCAUGUAGCUAAACACAGAACUUCAAGCACAGAAAGAAAGGAGGUGACAGGGAAUUUCACGUGGUAUGAGUUUCUUACCAUUGAAAAUGACGGAGAAGAGGAGGAAAGACCUGAGCGUCUGGAAAAAGGUACCAAAGUCAAGCGGACUCUGAGCUCACUGAGGAACCGCAUGACCGGAUCCUUCAACAAAGACAAAGUAAUCACACACACACACACACACACACACACUGACAUCACUCACACUCGGGCUGUGGGAUAAAAUCAUAUACAUUUCUGCUGAACUUUGCAGCAACUUCUGUGUCUCUGCAACUUCCUCCUUUUCUUGAAUGUAGAAAGACACUAAACUCGCCCAUGCAGACUACUGGGAAAGUUUUGACCUGCUCUUUGAACUAGACAAUGUGCCAAUUGUAUACUGUCUUUUAAAAAAAUAAAA